GGCGCACGGGUGAGUAACACGUAAGUAAUCUACCUUUGGGUGGGGAAUAACUCAAGGAAACUUGAGCUAAUACCGCAUAAUGCAGCGGCUCCUACGGGAGACAGUUGUUAAAGCAUUUAUGCGCCUAAAGAGGAGCUUGCGGCAGAUUAGCUAGUUGGUAAGGUAACGGCUUACCAAGGCAACGAUCUGUAGCCGGCCUGAGAGGGCGGUCGGUCACACUGACACUGAAUAACGGGUCAGACUCCUACGGGAGGCAGCAGUCGGGAAUUUUGGGCAAUGGGCGAAAGCCUGACCCAGCAACGCCGCGUGAAGGAUGAAGUCCCUCGGGAUGUAAACUUCGUAAGUAUAGGAAGAAUAAAUGACGGUACUAUACGUAAGCUCCGGCUAACUACGUGCCAGCAGCCGCGGUAAUACGUAGGGAGCAAGCGUUGUUCGGAUUUACUGGGCGUAAAGGGUGCGUAGGCGGCGCGUCAAGUCACUUGUGAAAUCUCCGGGCUUAACUCGGAACAGCCAAGUGAUACUGUCGUGCUAGAGUGCA
rnacentral:rRNA from 1 species